GCAGUCGGAAGCGGCAAAAAAGUGACUUAAAAUCCCUCGGGAAACCGUACGGGUUCGAUUCCCGUCGUCCGCACCA
rnacentral:tRNA from 1 species